rnacentral:lncRNA from 1 species
GGGAAUACUCAACAUAGGAUGACCCAACAUGAUAUACAAACUUAUACAUGUGACAUGCCUAUAAGACCAAAAUGAACACUCGUACACUGAACAUAGGCCGACAAGGCCAUACAAUCUUUCAUAUGCAUGACAUCUGUCUACAAUCCUCUAAGAGCACAUACAUAUCAUAAGGUUAGGACAGGACCCCACCAUACCAAUCAGUACAUGUCCAAAUCAUAUUGACCAAAUAGGUAACUCUGGAGCAAGUGGAGUGCACCAACACCUUCCGUUGAGCUGAUAGCCUACUAGGAGGAAUGUCAACCUAUCUAUCGGGACCUGCAGCAUGAAAUGCAGUGUCCCCAGGCAAAAGGGACAUCAGUACGAAUAAAGUACCGAAUAUGUAAGGCAGGAAAAUGUAAAUAAGAACAGUAAUGUAAAGAGAGAUAGAGGAGAUACAACCUGUAACAUCUGAGUGCCUCUGGGGGCUACUGACAUGAAAUGCAUAAUACAUAUAUAUACAUAAACUUUUUAAAAUCAUACGCAUCUAUGGGCAUCAUCAUCAUCAUAUCGUACCCGGCCUCAAAGAGGACCCGGUAAAAAAAAUGUACUCGACCAUCAUAAGGCUCGGUAGAAUCGGACCCGACCACGUGGAGCUCGGUAAACCCAACUGAUUAGUUGUUGCACAAUAGGUGUCGUACUCGGCUGACUAUAACGCGCCUCGGUAAAGUAAAAUAGAUACAUAUAUAUAAUGCAUGCUCAACUCAUGGAAUCAUGCUCUAAACCUUUCAGAAUAAUGUAAGGUCAGUAUCCUCUGUACACAUUAUCAGGACUAACUCUUCACUAUGAACCUUAUAAGAAUUAGGAAGUAUCAAAAACAUUGAUAACAUAAGAAUGAGAGAAGCAACAUCAACAUCAAUUGUUCCAUAAGAGGGGAAACAAUUUAAGUACUGCUAGCUUCUAAGAGUAGAGUAUCUUUGGAAGAUCGUUCAUUACAUUACAUACAAUCGGAGUCAUGCAAAAGAAGGAAAAGGAUAGCCUCACAUACCUUGUAUAUGUACUGCCCAACCUCAAGCUAUGCAAAUGUCAUGACUCCUUAGUCUACAAUAAGAGAAAUGACACUAUCGUUAUCGUUUUAGCAUCGUAAUUAUUAUGUAUCGGCCACAACCUAUUUCACAAUGAAAUGGAAAGCACCUCCCCUAUAUAUAUAACUUCACACAAGUCAAAACAAUCACAAACAACCCAACAUAUCUCUAUCACUUCAUACACAACACGACAACCAUAAUAGUAUCAAAUAAUCCGAAAAUGUUACGACGAACGACCAACAAACAACCUUGCCAUUAUGUGGUGUUUCUCUACACCCUUCCUCCUCUCAACUCUAUGAAAACAAUAGCAAAAGAGACAAACCAAUACCAACACAAAACCGCCUACAAAAUAGUCCCACAAGUUCAUCAGCUCAAAAGUAAUUUUUCAGUUUACUUAAACACGUUUCGACUUGUCUUUUCUCUCAAUUGAGAAACACAACCAAAAGUACAUAAUUAUACCUCUUAUCCAAUAAACCAGCCAUGAAUUCAACUUAAAAAUAAGUUCACAACCAGCCAACCAUUACACAAGAACAAACAACAUACCAUUCUUUCGAAACUAGCUAGGUCUAUUCUGUAUGAUCGAGUUACAACUCGCAAACGCAUAGAUAAUGGAAGGAUAAGCAUAAACGAACCUUGUACUGACUAUAAUCAACGAAACCUGGUCCUUCUUCAUCAAAAAUAAGUUCCUCAACAUGGCUACAAGAAGGAGAAAGAGAAACUAGCAAGCUGUUCGGACUUUUCAGCACUAGAAUCGCAUCGUAACACCCGGAGUACCCUAGGGUUUGUGUGGGAUUUUUGGGUAGGAGUUGCAGGGGCUCAAUUAGGUUUUCUUGGUCUGAAAGAUAGGUGAAAUAACUGUGUUGAUAGUUCCUUAAAUGACCCCUCUUGGCCGACUUUGGGGUUUUUAAUUGAGUCCUCUCAUUUUGGCAAGUAGGUGAUGCACCUACUAGUUACCUACCAGCCUGCGCAUUCUCGCAAAAGUACGAGUAUCUCUCUACUCUGACUCUGUAUCGACAAACAAUUUAAUGCUUUAGAAAACUAGAUGCAUAGAUCUUUAAUUUUGUUGGUAGAUCAUCCCCUAAUUCCAAGUAUAUUAGGAGAAAAGCUCAGUUACAUUUGACCUAAUUUUCAGCACAUUUAUGAAUAGAACUUGUGAUGACCUUUUCCAACUUUUGUUCCAUAACUCGCUUGACAUCAAAACAUAACACCAACUAUCAUACGACUAAAAUAACUCAUAUUAUAAUCUCCUUAUAAUGUUAAUAACCCUAGUUUCAUCCCAAAAGUACAUGGUAAAACAUUCCAACUUGUUGACUUUCGACGAAACUUAUUUUCUUCAAUUUGUUUAGCUUCUAAGCCUUUAAACCCUCUUGCUACUUGGGAUUAAUGAUCUUAAAUAUUUGUAACAUCCGUGUUAACAUGAUGAACUAAAUUUGUAAACUUUUCAAAGAUGAUUCCCUUUCUGAGCUUACAUUAAUUGACUUAUGCCGUACUCUUAUGUACGAAAACAUAUGGUGUAACAUCAUUCCCCCCUUUGGAAUACUCGUCCUCGAAUGUUGACUAAUGCGCUUAUCAGUCUCAUAACCCGUAGCUCUUAAGAAUACUUUAAUAUUGUCUUUGACAUCUAGGAAACUGUUCUGUAAAUAAAUCCAAAGGCCAGGGUAUUCCCCCCUUUAGGCCUCUUUCUCAUACCACAACUUGUGGUCGGAAUUUUUCCAAUCUCAUAAAUAUUGUUACCUUCUGACAUGCAUCAUGUACAGUUGUGUACUUGUAUGUGUGCCUAUGCGACUCUUCUCUCCUUUUUCCUCCAACUUUUAGCCAAUCUCUAGGCCUCACUUUAUGAACAUAUACAGAACUAUGACAAGAUGUCCCUCAAGGCAUAUAUAGGUGUACUAAAGUUCUUCGCUUGGUACUUUAUCGAACUUACGACUAUUGCUAUAUCUUGUUUCAUAGCCUUGUAUAUCUAUCCUUAUGGCUUUUCUACAUCUAGGUAGGUUAUACUAUACCAUAACACUUACUUUUGUUUAUUUUUAUCGAGGUUUGCUACCCAACUCCAGGUUAUUCUCUCGCUACUUAUCCUAUAUGUAUAAAUCUAAGUCAUUUAAUGCUUCCUUAUUAAUGUUCAUCUAAAUAAUGGCAUCAUAAUCUCCUCUCAUAUUUUGGAACUCUUAUCCAUCUAUUAUUGAUUCACCUUAAUGUUGAUCUAUAAUCCACCACUAAUAACUUGAAACCUCUUACGUAAUACAUUGUCACUAGGGCUCACGUCUCAUCGAGGAACAUCUGAAGUGGCUUUCCUUAUCCACCUAGGGACAAUACCAUACUUCAAUAACCUUAUUUUAUAGCAUCCCAAUGUGAUUCGUCUUAUAUUCUAAUCCUGUGCCAUCCAUGAAAUCUCUUCUCUUUGAAUCAUUACUCAAUUGAAGGCCUAAAUAUCAUCCUUUUAUUAUUUACCACAAUUACACCCUUACAUUACGACUAGGGAAGCAUUCUAUCUCUUCUAAAUGCUCCUAGUCUUAGAAUCCUCCGUGUUAAUUCAAGCUAUACUGAGCUUUUUAUAACAUACAUAAACCAUCAUCUCUCUUGUUUGAUGGGCUUAAUACCAAGGUCUUACCUAUUCUUGUCAACUCCUAACUUAGCUUUUCUUAUCCUUACUCCCAUAUACCUAAAGUCUUGUCACUCUGCCAUACUUUAGCUUGCGACCUACAUAUAUCUAUUUGUAAUACUCACAUCCUUCCUUUAACUUGCUAGCACCACAGAUUUCCUUUUGUGCCUUCUCAGUUGUCUUUAAAUGUAAGCAAUUACUUUUCCUGGCCGUUCUGCCAUUUGUUGCAUGAAUACUUGGCUUGUCUUAUUGCCCACGAAUACUAUAAUUUCAUGUACCUCAUAUGAUCUCAAACAUCACCUUUGAUUUGUUUUCCCAUUCAUUAGCCAUUAUAGGCACCACUUUCUUAUGGAGUGCAUCCAAUGUUGUAGUGAGACUAUUGUUACCAGACCAAUUCUUCUUCAAGUUAAUAUGCUUAGGUUGAAGCCCUUUUCCUUAUUUCCUGAGCUAGUCUUUCGUGGUAGUACUUAGGAGACUUUCUGGAUCUUGUAAAGUUGCGAGCUUGAUAUAUCGUACACCUGAAGGAAAUUUUCGUUGUUCUUACUCGCCUAUAAUAAUCCUUAGUUAAAUAACUUUGUGCCCUUGUGCUCGUAGGGUUACUUCUAAGCUCAAAUUUUCAUUGUCUCUUUAGUGGUACUCUCUCUUAUUUUCAUAAAACUUAAACGGUACCUUUAACUGCCUCAACUCCUAUCUAAAUUUUUUUAGAUGAUUGUGAUCUCAUAUCUAUGAGACUAAAUUCCCUAUGAUGUGGUUCAAUACAUUUAUAUUGCAUGAUCUUUUAAUUUAUCUGUGACCUCUUGUUUAGCCAUAACCGGGCUCUUCCUGAAUCAACUACUAAUUACUCGUUGGUCCAUUCUCAUAUAUAUAUUUCGCAUAAGCUCUCUUGGGAUAUAUCCUUUGUCUUAACUUACCUCUCGCCACUAGCUCCUGAUGUUUCAAGUGUCCAUUCACACUUAUUUAUCAAUAACAUCCUGGCUGAAAACUUUUACUACCUUUCCCCGGUAUCGUGCUUGUAUAAAGUUCUGGAGUCACAACAUAUCUGUAGGAACUGAAUAAAUGCAACAUCAUCCCUUUCUCCUUUUCACCACAUUCUUCCUUUACCAUUCCAUAGUUACCUAGACCGCUUAACUCCGACUUAAUACCAUAUCAUACCACAUUCCCUCCUUUAGGGGAGUACUAAGAUUUAGUACUAUGAUGAUCUAGCUAUAGAUGUUUUACCUCUUCAUCUUUGGCGUCUUUUCACAUUAUAAAUGAACCUUAAUCGCCUUAUGGUAAUUUUUUGUACCAGGGAUAACUAAAUUUCUUAUGCAGAAGGUGACACCUAGUGUAAUUGGCACAUUUAGUCCCUUAAGCUUAACUUUGCUCACAUUGCUCGCUUUAGGGAAACCUCUUCCUGAAUGACCUUUAAAGGUUAUUCUUCUAUUGUCCAUUUUAUUAUUGUUGGAACACGAUCUCCGAAAUUCUUAUGAGGCUGACUAUUACCAAAUACUUCGAUCCCUAAUUCAUGUUCAGUUUAUCUUAUUCUCCAUCCCAUACUGAUUUCUAUUACUCCGGGGUCUAAUCUUUCCUUAUGGUAAUCACGUUAGAGUCACCAAAUCAUUUCUCGAAAUGGGAAUAUGACUUUAUGUCUUAUACUCUUUUAUUGUCUUAAGUCCUGUCACCUCUUAUAUCUUCCUUCACUUGACUAUAAACUUUAUCAUCAUGUCGUAUUUUGAUUUACUGUUAUCACCCAUUUAUUACAUCUUACUCAUAAUGCUUUAUUUACUCUCUUCUUAUUCUCCGGCUAAUAUUUCUGUCUAUCACUUUAUUCUGAUAACUUCAACAAAUCAUUCUUUCACUUUUAGCUCCCCUUGCUUCAUCUCACUGGCUCUUUAGGUCACCUAGCAUUCUCUCUUUACUAGGAACGGGAGCCAUACAAAGGUAAAUAUUUAUCCCUUCUAGGAUUUCAGUGCCAAUCUUCUAAAAUUUCUGAACAUUCAUGUAUUCAUAUAUGAUUGUACUAUACUAUGGUGCACCAUCUGGGUGUCUCACAAGGAGAUCUGUUACCACGUUUUCACUAUCCGUCAAAAAUGUUAGCUAAUGAUAACAAUCCAUCUACAAAUUUGGGCUACUCUAACCCCAGCUGGAUCCUAAUAUCCCAUUCUUCUUUUAAACUAUAUUUGUUAGCUCCCAUAGGGCAUAAUUUCGAUGGGCGUGGCCAAUUGUACAUACCUCUGUUGCUGUUGAAUGUAACUCAUAAUACAUAUAUUUCUCUGCCUGAAUUGUAAAACUCAAAACCUUCACUAACUGGUACCUCGUAAUCUUUGUCACCUUGCUUCUUUUAUUUGUUGAAACUUGUAUCUACCUUCUGAUUCUCUUGUUGAUUUUUAAACCAUAUGGGUGGAUAGAUAUUCACGCCUUACGCCUGCUUAUCAAUAAACUUUCACGCUUUAGUACACAUAUAAUCUACUGAAGACCUUACAUUUACUCAUCAUAAGCAUGAUACAAAUUUAUGUUUCAUUGACUCAACUCUUCCAUAACAAAGUUUCUCUUACCUACUAUCUGUUUGGAUGAGGAAUCAUUGUGUUACAAAUAAAAUAGAAUUUACAAGUUUGAAUUCUUACAAUUGUGCUCUACCACACGAUCUAGAGUAAGAAGAAAGAGUGACAGUAAUAAAUGCCCUGCAGCCUCCUACUUAUAAGUGUAGUGCACUACACACCCAUAAAUAAGACUCUACUAGACACGGCUUGUAGACUCCCUAGAACAGAACUGCUCUGAUACCACUUCUGUCACGACCCAAAUUGGAGGGCCGCAAUGGGCAUCCGGUGCCUUACCCAACCGAGUACCAACAUAACGUAUUCUUUCUUAUCAUACCAUUAUGGGUAAAUAGGAUGGAAGGGUCGUCAUGAUAUAACCAGAAUGAAACAUAAGGGAAUACUCAACAUAGGAUGACCCAACAUGAUAUACAACCUUAUACACGUGACAUGCCUAUAAGACCAAAAUGAACACUCGUACAUUGAACAUAUGUUGACAAGGCCAUACAAUCUUUCAUAUGCAUGACAUCUGUCUACAAGCCUCUAAGAGCACACACAUAUUAUAAGGUCGGGGCAGGACCCUGCCAUACCAAUGAAUACAUGUCCAAAUCAUAUUGACCAAAUAGGCAACUCCGGAGAAAGUGUUGUGCACCAACACCUUCUGUUGAGCUAAUAGCCUACUAGGAUGUCAACCUAUCUAUCGGGACCUGUAGCAUGAAAUACAGUGUCCCCAGGCAAAAGGGACAUCAGUAUAAAUAAAGUACCGAGUAUGUAAGGCAGGAAAACAUAAAUAAGAACAGUAAUGUAAAGAGAGAUAGAGGAGAUACAACCUGUAACAUCUGAGUGCCUCUAGGGGCUACUGACAUGAAAUGCAUAAUACAUAUAUAUACAUAAACUUUUUAAAAGCAUACGUCUUUGUGGGCAUCAUCAUCAUCACAUCGUACCCGGCCUCAAAGAGGACCUGGUAAAAAAAACGUACCCGGCCAUCAUAAGGCUCAGUAGAAUCGGACCCGGCCACGUGGAGCUCGGUAAUCCCAACCGAUUAGUUGUUGCACAAUAGGUGUCGUACUCGGCUGACUAUAGCGCACCUCGGUAGAGUAAAAUAGAUACAUAUAUAUAAUGCAUGCUCGACUCAUGGAAUCAUGCUCUAAACCUUUUAGAGUGAUGUAUGGUCAGUAUCCUCUGUACACAUUAUCAGGACUAACUCUUCACUAUGAACCUUAUAAGAAUCAGGAAGUAUCAACAACAUUGAUAACAUAAGAAUAAGAGAAGCAACAUCAACAUCAAUUGUUCCAUAAGAGGGGAAACAAUUUAAGUACUGCUAGCUUCUAAGAGUAGAGUAUCUUUGGAAGAUCGUUCAUUACAUUACGUACAAUCGGAGUCAUGCAAAAGAAGGAAAAGGAUAGCCUCACAUACCUUGUAUAUGUACUGCCCAACCUCAAGCUAUGCAAAUGUCAUGAUUUCUUAGUCUACAAUAAAAGAAAUGACACUAUCGUUAUCGUUUUAGCAUCGUAAUUAUUAUGUAUCGGCCACAACCUAUUUCACAAUGAAAUGGAAAGCACCUCCCCUAUAUAUAUAACUUCACACAAGUCAAAAAAAUCAGAAACAGCCCAACAUAUCUCUAUCACUUCACACACAACACGACAACCAUAAUAGUAUUAAAUAAUCCGAAAAUAUUACGACGAACGACCAACAAACAACCUUGCCAUUAUGUGGUGUUUCUCUACAUUAUUCCUCCUCUCAACUCCAAAAAAAAGUAGCAAAAGAGACAACCCAAUACCAACAUGAAACAACCCACAGAACAGUCCCCUAAGUUUAUCAACUCCAAAGUAAUUUUUCAGUUUACUUAAACACCUUUCGACUUGUCUUUUCUCUCAAUUGAGAAAAACAACCAAAAGUACAUAGUUAUACCUAUUAUCCAAUAAAACAACCAUGAAUUCAACUUAAAAAUAAGUUCACAAUCAGCCAACCAUUACACAAGAAUAAACAACAUACCAUUCUUUCGAAACUAGCUAGGUUUAUUAUUUACGAUCGAGUUACAACUCACAAACGCAUAGAUAAUGGAAGGAGAAGCAUAAAAUUACCUUGUACUGAGUAUAACCCACGAAACCUGGUCUGUCUUCAUCAAAAAUAAGUUCCUCAACACGGCUACAAGAAGGAGAAAGAGAAACUAGCAAGCUGUCUGGACUUUUCAGCACUAGAAUUGUGUCGUAACACCCGGAAUAUCCUAGGGUUUGUGUAGGAUUUUUGGGGAGGAGUUGCAAGGAUUCAAUUAGGUUUUCUUGUUCUUAAAGAUAGGUGAAAUAACUGAGUUGAUAGUCCCUUAAAAGACCCCUCUUGGCCGACUUUGAGGCUUUUAAUUGAGUCCUCUCAUUUUGGCAAGUAGGUGAUGCACCUACUUGUCACCUACCAUCCUGCGCAGUCUCGCAAAAAUACGAGUAUCUCUCUACUCCGACUUCGUAUCAACAAACAAUUUAAUGCUUUAGAUACUAGAAUCAUAGAUAUUUAAUUUGGUAUGUAGAUCAUCCCCUAAUUCCAAGUAUAUUGGGGAAAAAGCUCAGUUACAUUUGACCUAAUUUUCAGCACAUUUAUGAAUGAAACUUGUGAUGAUCUUUUCCAACUUUUGUUUCAUAACUCGCUUGACUUCAAAACAUAACACCAACUAUCAUACGACUAAAAUAACUCAUAUUAUAAUCUCCUUAUAAUGUUAAUAACCCUAGUUUUACCCCAAAAGUACAUGGAAAAAUAUUCCAACUUGUCGACUUUUGACGAAACUUAUUUUCUUCAAUUUGUUUAGCUUCUUAGCCUUUAAACCCUCUUGCUACUUGGUAUUAAAUAUCUUAGAUAUUUGUAACCUCCACGUUAACAUGAUGAACUAACUUUAUAAACUUUUCAAAGAUGAUUCCCUUUUUGAGCUUACAUUAAUUGACUUAUGACGUUCUCUUACGUACGAAAAUAUGGGGUGUAACAAUACCAUUCGUGAGCGACUGUCCAUUUGAGUUUGUGUGUGGUGGUGAAUUUCACAUGGUUGAUUAACGUAUCUUCACUCCCACCAAUGAUCAUUUGUAUAGUACGAGAUGGUGAUAGUGGUUUUAGAGGUCCCUAAGGUUGAUCGCGUCCACGAGAAAAGUUGGCCCAUCCUCGAUUGCUCAGCAGUUCUUUCAGGUAUCACUUGUUUAACAUUCUUACCACUUUCUGUCGCAAACAUAUGCAGUCCUCGGUCUUGUGUCCCCUUUUAUGAUGGAAUUUACAUAGAACAUUCGAUCUCCUCGUGCUCGGAUUCGACUUCAUCUUGUGCGGCCACUACACCUUUGUGGCGAGCUUUUCCAGUGCGUACACUAUUUCUGAAGGAGAAAUACAAAAGUUAUGAGUAGAUAAUAGUGGAGGCAUACCUCUUUCAUUUCAGGGUGGUGCGAUGUGUCGAGGCGCACCAUCUAUAUGUCGUGGAGGAGGUGGGUUGGAUUUUCGGAUAUAGGGCUGGUGCCUUUCUCAAUUGAAACGUGGUAGUUGGUCCCUUCAGCCGUCAUUGCGGUGAUCUCUCCUUGUCUCUGUCUGGACCGAGGUUAGUCAUUGGAUCGGACCGUUCAGGCCAUCCUCAUCUGCCCUCACUUCGGCUCAAUAGGCAUUAUGGAUCUCUUCCCACGUGGUGGGGGGUACUUCAUGAGUCUACUUAGCAGCUUUUUGGUUGCUUUUGACCCAUUUCUAUUUAACCCAUUUUGAAAGGCUGCUACCGCCAUACUUUCUGACACGUUUGGUAUGCUCAUCCUUACCCUGUUGAAUCGGGCUAGGAAAUCCCGAAGUCCUUCAUCUGUCGUUUACCUGACAACGAAGAUAUCAUUUACCCUGGCCUCUGCCUUUUUCGCUCCUGCGUGAGCGGUGACUAACUUAUCUGCCAUUUCUUCGAACGUUCAUAUCGAUCGUGCUGGUAGUUGGGAAUACCAUAUCAACGCUCCUCUUUUCAGAGUUUUGCCAAACUUUUCAGCAGUACUGACGGCACCUGUUCUUUUGAUAGAUCGUUACCUUUUACUAUAGUAACGUAAUGGAUUAAGUGAUCCUCCGGGUCUGUGGUGGCAUCAUAUAUUUUUAGAUAUGGCAGCAUUUUGAAGGUUUUUAGAAUAGAGUGGGAAGCUGCCCCUUCACUAUAUGGUUGUUCGACGAAUCGGCCCACGUCACGUUUUGGUAGCAACUUCGGAGCGCCCGAUAUUUUAUCAACCCUUUCCUGAUGCUCUUUCAUCUGUCGUAGAGUGUUUUGUUCUCAUUUUCCAUCUCUUCCAUUUUCAUUAAGAUGGUCGCAAGUGCAUUGUUGCUUGCAUCAGCGACCGUAUGGGCGUUACUUGUUCGUGUAAUUUCUGGCUCAUCGACGACAGUUGCGGUUUCUGCGGGUAAUGUGUCUUCGAUAUCCCUCUAUACGGGUUUCUCGAGUAUGUUGCUCAAGAUAUUUGUCAGCCAUUCUUCUAAUAGCCUUUUCACGGCUGGUGGUACUUCUCUUGCUGUGGAUGUUAAGGUUUCCCUCUCGCGCGAGACAGUUAAACCCUCUUGGGGGGGUGUGAGAUCUCUCCCUCAGGUGUAGCACUUGAUGUUGCGUUUUUGUUGUCUUCUCCAUUGGCAUCAUUGAGGGAAUUCAGGAGGUUGUUCGUGACACCUACUAUUGCAUUUAGCCUUGUUUCUCCCUUUCCUGCAAUUGUUAGCCUUUGUAAGACUAAAAAGAGGUUAUUAUUUCUUUCAAGAAUCUAGACAAAACUAAGAUCUCAGCUAUAGAAAUCCCCACAGACGGCGCCACAUUGUUUGACUCAAAAGAUAUCGAAAUCUUUUUGAAUAAAUCAAUCAAAGAAAAUGAAGGGGUAAAUCUUAUCUAUGUAUAAUAAUCUCUAGAAAGAAAGAUAGAUAAGGGGAAUACGGAUGAUAAGAAUUCUUUAUCCCAUCUAGACCAAAAGACCUUUCACAAUAAUCUUCUCAAUCUUUUAUGUAAGCAAGUUUACAGCAAGUAUUAUGGAUUAGCAAAAGUGCCUGCCCUUACAAAGUUGUUUCAUGCUAUAUAUAUAUAUAUAUAUAUAUAACGNNNNNNNNNNNNNNNNNNNNNNNNNGUGCAGAUCCAGGUUCUUCUGCUCAGCCAUUCUACCAGUGAGGCGGGCGAUACCAGAGACUUCGAGGUAUAUAUGUCGCGUCCGCAAAUCUAGAAGUCCCUCUCUAUUCUCCCCUCUAGCUUUAGACUUCCUGUACUUACUUUUGAUUAGACAUUCUAGAGUUAGAACACUAUAUAGUUUUUCUACAGUUUGUGAUUUCAUGAGAUUCUGGGUUUUGGGAGUUUGAUUCAAUUUUGAGAGUAUGUAUUGUAUAUGCCGAGCGGCAUUUCCAAACUCUUUACUUAUAUUUUUACUCGUAACUUGCCAGUUUCGUAUUUCAUUUCCUUUUUCCGCAAUUUGUUAGGCUUACCUAGUUGUAGAGACUAGGUAUAGUCACGACAGUUCACGGAGGGAGAACUAGGGUCUUGAAAAGUUAGUAUCAGAGAUCUAGGUUCAUAGAAUGUCAUGAAUCGCAAGCCGAUUUAUUAGAGUCUCACGGAUCGGUACGGAGACGUCUGUACUUAUCUAUGAGAGGCUAUGUAACUAUUAGGAAAAUUCCACUUCAUUUGAUUUCCUUGUUAUGUAAGAGUUUUGAUAUCAAAAUUCUAAACCUCUAUCUUCUAUUCUCUCACAGAUGGCGAGGACACGUGCUACCGGAGAUGAACAGGAACCCGCACCCCCUACUAGAUCCAUCAGUGGUCGGGGCUGGGGUAGAGGCCAAGGACGUGCACGUGGUGCAGCCAGAGCACCCUCGCGAGCUGCCAUAGAGGAGCCACUAGCAACUCCAGCCGGAGCCCAAGCACCUGACACGCCUACUGCUACUACUACUACUCCAGCUCUUCAGGAGACCUUUGCACAGUUCGUGAGCAUGUACACCACUCUAGCUCAGGCAGGGUUAAUUCCCCUUGCUGCAGCCACAUCCCAGGAAAGGGAGGAGCCUAGACUCCCGCCUCCCAUACCCCAGAGCAGCGAGUCCUGGUUAAUUAGAUCCCAGAGGUUAUACCGGUACCGUCUGCAGCCCCAGUUAAGCCCGAGGAUAGGGCAGCAGCUUCGGAGGAUGAGCAGCGGAGGCUUUAGAUGUUCAAGAAGUACAAGCCUCCUAUAUUCAGUGGUCUAGCAUAAGAUGAUGCUCUGGUAUUUCUGGACAAGUUCUAACGUAUCCUCCGCACUAUGGGUAUAUCAGGAUCGAGUGGGGUUUACUUCAGUACCUUCCAUCUUCGAGGAGCAGCGUACCAAUGGCGGCGUACUUAUGAGUUGGAAAGACCAGCUGAGGCACCUUCCCUUAUAUGGACCUAGUUUUCAGAUAUAUUUUGAGGGAGUAUGUUCCUCAAAGCCUUAGGGAUGCAUGACGCGCUAAGUUUGAGCAUUUGCGCCAAGGUGCUAUGAUAGUUUCGGAGCAUGCUGUCCAUUUCACUGACUUGGCUAGGCAUGCAAAAGCCUUGGUUUCUACAGUUCGUGAGAGAGUUCACCGGUUUAUUGAGGGGCUCAUUCCUAGCAUCAAGUCUAGCAUGGCUCGGAAGUUGGAGAUAGAUAUCUCUUAUCAGCAGGUGGUGAGCAUUUCUAGGAGAGUAGAGGGUAUGCAUGCUUGGGAUAGAGAGGAUAGGGAAGCCAAGAGGUCUCGAGGGUCGGGUCAUUAUUCUGGUGCCCGUGCCCCAGUUGCAGUUCAUCAUGGUAGGGGUUAUAUGAGUCGCCCUGUUUAUUCAGCUCUUCUAGCAGCCAGUGGUAUUCCAGCUCCUCCUAGACCCAAAGAGCCUUAUUAUGAACCUCCAGUAUCUAGGCCUCCUACAUGGGGUGCUUUCAGUGGUUAGUCCAGCAGAACUUGAGCGAGCCAGUCACAGCCGCCACUUCCUCCCAGAGCUUGUUUUGAGUGUGGUGACACACACCAUAAGGUGAGAGAUUGCCCCAGACUUAGGAGGGGUGCACCUCCACAGACUUCUGAGCCAUAACAUGCUUCGUAGAGUUCUCAUGCUAUGAUUACAGCACUAGUUGUUGCCCCACCUACCCAACCAGAUAGAGGGGAGGUCGGGGAGGUAGAGGUCUCCCUAGAGGGGGAGGCCAAGCUAGAUAUUAUGCCAUUCCUGCCCAUACUGAGGUUGUCGCCUCCAAUUCUGUCAUCACAUGUAUUGUACUGGUUUAUCAUAUAGAUGCAUCAGUUUUAUUCGAUCUAGGCUCCACUUAUUCUUAUGUGUCCUCUUAUUUUGCCUCGUAUUUGGGCGUACCUCGGAAUUUUUUGAGUUCCCCUGUUUAUGUUUCUACUCCCGUGGGAGAUUCUCUUAUUGAGGACCACGUUUAUCAGUCAUGUUCGAUUGCUCUUAGUGGUUUUGAGACUAGAGCCGAUCUAUUAUUGCUCACCAUGGUAGAUUUAGAUGUUAUCUAGGGCAUGGACCGGUUGUCACCCUAUUAUGCUAUUCUUGCUUGUCUCGCCAAAACCUUGACAUUGGCUAUGCCAAAUGUACUGCGAGUAGAGUCAAGGGGUACCUUAGAUCACACUCCCAGUAGAGUUUUUUCAUUCCUUAAGUCUCAGCGAAUGGUUGACAAGGGUUGUGGCGCAUAUCUAGCUUACGUGACAGAUAUCAGUAUUUAUACCCCUAUAGUUGAUUGAGUCCCAGUAGUAUGGGAUUUCCUUGAUGUGUUUCCAACUGAUCUUCCGGGUAUGCCACCCGACAGCGAUAUUGAUUUCGGCAUUGAUUUGUUGUCGGUCACUCAGCCUAUUUUCAUUCCUCCUUAUCAUAUGGCCCCUCCUGAGUUAAAGGAGUUGAAGGAUAAGUUACAGGAAUUGCUCGAUAAGUGUUUUAUUCAGCCCAGUCACCUUGGGGUGCUCUUGUCUUGUUUGUGAAGAAAAAGGAUGGUUCUAUGCGUAUGUGCAUUGAUUAUCGCCAGUUGAACAAAGUUACAGUGAAGAACCAGUAUCCUUUGACUCGUAUUGAUGAUUUGUUUGACCAGUUAUAAGGUGCUCGAGUGUUUUAUAAGAUUGACUUGCGUUCAGGUUAUCAUUAGUUGAAGAUUCGAGAGCCAGAUAUCCCGAAGACUGCUUUCAAGACUCGGUAUGGUCAUUACGAGUUCCUUGUUAUGUCAUUUGGGCUGACCAAUGCCCCAGCAGCCUUUAUGCAUUUGAUACACAACAUUUUCUGCCAUAUCUUGACUCGUUCAUCAUUGUCUUUAUUGAUGACAUUCUGGUAUACUCCUAGAGUCGGGAGGAUCAUGAGCAGCACCUGAGGACAACGCUUCAGACUUUGAGAGAAAAGAAAUUAUAUGCAAAUUUCUCAAAAUGUAAGUUUUAGUUGGAUUCCGCGAAAUUCUUCGAUCACGUGGUAUCGAAUGAAGGGAUCAAGGUGGAUACAAAGAAGGUGGAGGCGGUAUAGAGUUGGCCCAGACCAUCCUCAACUAUAGAGAUCCGUAGUUUUCUUGGCUUGGCGGGUUAUUACCAUCGAUUUGUUUAGGGAUUUUCAUCUAUUGUAGCACCUAUGACCAAACUGACCCAGAAGGGUGCUCCGUUCCAGUGGACGGAAGAGUGUGAGGAGAUCUUCCAGAAGCUCAAGACAACUUCAGUAUGAUGACCCUCAUUUGCUUAUCCUCAUAGACAAGGUUCUGCAUGGUGAUGCUAGAGAUGUGACCAUUGGUGAUGAUGGUGUAUUGAAGAUGCAAGGUCGAGUAUGUGCACCCAAUGUUGAUGGGCUUCAAGAGUUGAUUCUAGAGGAAGCCCACUGUUUGCGGUAUUCCAUCCAUCUGGGUGCCGCAAAGAUGUACCAAAAUUUGAGACAUCACUAUUGGUGGAGGCGGAUAAAGAAUGAUAUAAUUGGAUUUGUAGCUAGGUGCCUCAAUUGUCAUCAGGUAAAGUAUGAGCACCAGAGACCAGGUGGUUUGCUUCAGCAGAUAGAUAUUCUGGAGUGGAAGUGGCAGCGGAUCACCACGGAUUUCGUAGUUGGACUCUCACAAACUUUGAGAAAGUUCGAUGCCAUUUGGGUGAUUAUGGAUCGGCUGACCAAGUUUGUGCAUUUCAUCCUUUGUGUACCACCUACUCUUCGGAACGGUUGGCGGUGAUUUAUAUCCAGAAGGCUAUUUGUCUGCAUGGUAUUCCAGUUUCCAUCAUUUUAGAUAGAGGUACUUAGUUUACAUCACGGUUCUGGAGGGCCGUACAACAUGAAUUGGAUACUUCGGUGGAGUUGAGCAUAGCAUUUCACCCCCAGACAGACUGACAGUCCGAGCGCACAAUUCAGAUUUUUAAGGGUAUGCGUCGUGCGUGUGUGAUGGAGUUUGGAGGUUCUUGGGAUCAGUUCUUGCCACUAGUGGAGUUUGCCUACAAAAACUGUUAUUAGUCCAACAUUCAGAUGGCACCGUAUGAGGCCUUGUAUGGUAGGCGGUCUAGAUCCCCGGCGGGUUGGUUUGAGCCAGGUGAGGCUAGAUUAUUAGGCACAUACUUGGUUCAAGACGCCUUGGAGAAGGUUAAGGUGAUAUAGGAUAGACUUCGCACAUCCCGGUCCAGAUAGAAGAGUUAUGCGGACCAGAAGGUUCGUGAUGUUUCCUAUAUGGUUGGAGAGCAGGUCUUGCUUCGGGUUUCGCCUAUGAAGGGCGUCAUGAUAUUUGGGAAGAUGGGGAAAUUGAGUCCGGCUUUUAUUUGUCCUUUUGAGGUAUUAUGACGUGUUGGGGAGGUUUCUUAUGAGCUUGCCUUACCUCCCAGCUUGGCAGGAGUUCAUCCGAUAUUUCAUAUUUCGAUGCUUAGAAAGUAUCACGGUGAUCCGUCACAUGUGUUGGAUUUCAGUUCAUUCCAGUUGGACAAGGAUUUAUCUUAUGUGGAGGAUCCAGUGGCGAUAUUGGGUAGGCAAGAUCGAAAGUUGAGGUCAAAGAACAUUGCAUCAAUGAAGGUUCAGUGGCGGGGUCAGCCGGUCGAUUAGGCGACUUGGGAGACCGAACGGGAUAGCGCAGUCAUUACCCUCUUCUUUUCACUACUUCAGAUAUGUUUCUAUGCUCGUUCGAGUACGAACGAAUGUUUUAAGCGGGGGAGGAUGUAACGAUCCGGCCAGUUUUUUUGAGAAUUAACGCCUUGAUCCCCUAUUAACUGCUUUCCCCGGGUUUAUUGUUGCUAUUGUGAGUUGCCGGGAAGUUUUGAGUUUCGAAGUGUUUUGGGACACGUAGUCCCUCAAUGAGAUCUUAAGCUUUAGAAUUUGGACCGUAGUCGGAGCAGUGUGACGACGUCCUCGAAGUGGAAUUCGUAGAUUCUGUUAGCUUCGUUAAGUGAUUUCGGGAUUAAGGGCGUGUUCGGAUUGUGUUUUGGAGGUCUGUGGCUUAUUUAGGCUUGAAAUGCUGAAAGUUGAAUUUUUGAAGUAUUCAGAUUGAUAGUGAGAUUUUUAUAUCGGGGUCAGAAUCCAAUUCCGAAAGUUGGAAUAGCUCUGUAGUGUUGAAUGUGACUUGUGUGCAAAAUUUGGGGUCAAUCAGACAUGGUUUAGUUGGUUUCAGCAUCGGUUGUAGAAUUCUUGAGAUUUCAAGUUCAUUAGGCAUGGAUUGGAGGGUGAAUCAUGGUUUUAGCGUUGUUUGAUGUGAUCUGAGGUUGGAUUAAAUUUGUAUGAUGUUUUAGGAUUGGUUGGCAUGUUUGGUUGAGGUCCCAAGGGCCUCACGUGAGUUUCGGGUGUUUAAUGGAAUUAGAUUUGGACUUAGGCAUUUUCUGAUAUUGCUGAAUCUAUCAUAACCGCACCUGCGUAUGUGGGACGGCAAGUGCGGGACUGCAGAAGCGGCUUGAUGAUCGUAGAAGCAGAUUUAGGCUAGGGCUUCAGGAAUCGCAGGUGCGGCUGGCUGACCGCAAAUGCGGAACCACAGAUGCGGCCAAGUGACCGCAAAUGCGUCCCCAGCCCGGUUAAGUGAAUUUCGCACCUGCGAUGCCUUUUCCGCAGGUGCGUCCCCCCUGACGCAUAUGCGGUAAUCGCUCGGCAGAUAUAGAACUUUUGAGAGUUUGAAGUUCAUAACAUUAAAUUUGAUUUUAGCUCGGGAGAAGGCGAUUUUGAGAGGGUUUUGAAGAGGAAAUCAGUGGGUAACGAUUCCUAACCCUAUUUCGUUUAUAUUUUAUCAAUCUAUUGUUGUUUUACACAUUUAAUCUAAGAAUUUGAGUGGAAGAAUGGGGAUUUGGGGGACAAGUUCCCCAAUUGAAAAUUCGAGUUUUGAGUAAGAUUUGGAGUCGGAUUUUGAUGAUUUUUGUUUGAGUGUGCUCGUGAGUGAAUGGGUGUUCAUAAUUUCUGACUUUUACCCGAUUCCGAGGCUUGGGCCUGGGGAGGAUUGUCGGGCGUUUUUCUAUUUCCUUACCUUAGCUUCGAUUCCUUUAGCUAAAUUUGUUGUUUGUUAUAUUUACAUUAUUAAAUUUAUUUAAUUAGAUUUGGCCCACUAAGAGUUGGAUAAUCGUUGCAAGAGCGUGAUUUCAGAUUUAUUUUGAGUUGGUUCGAGGUAAGUGGUUUGCCUAACCUUGUGUGGGGUGACUCUCCUUAGAAUUUUGGUAUUGUUGUUAUAUGAGUGUCGUAUACGUGAGGUGACGAGUGUGUAAACGUGCUAAUUGUUGAAAAACUCCAUUUUCAUUAAGUAAAUAUCUGCGUUUUCUUCUAAUUGAGAAAUUCUUGUACUUGAAGCCUCUUGUUUAGUUUAGGAAAAGCAUGCUCAUGUGAUCUAAUUGUCUUACUUGCUUUAUCUGCUUACUUGUAUUUUGUGAAACAUGUUUAGAGUAGAAUUCCUAUUUAUUUUCGAAUAGAAUUGUAGGUUCUUUCUUGAGACUGUUGUUUGUUUACUUUGGGACUACGGGACGAUAUCCCGGGAGAUGCCCCUGCAUGUUUACUUUGGGACUACAGAUCGGUAUUCUGAGAGAUCCCCCUGCACGUUUACAUUUGGGACUACGGGACAAUACCCGGAAGAUUCUCCUGUACUAGAUAUUUACUUUGGGCCUACGGAUUGGUAUUCCGGGAGAUUCUCCUACAUAUUUAUGAUUCGGGCUACGAGACGAUAUCAUAGGAGAUCCUCUACACAAUUACAUUAGGAAUUAUGGGACGAUAUCCUCGGAGAUCCCUUGUUGCUAUCUCUAUGUACUGAGUAUAUUAUGUCUGUGAUUUUACUCUUUAUCAAUUGUUAGUAUUUUUAAUUAUACCGUAGCACUUCAUACUAUUUUACCUUGUUUUAUAUGUAUAUAACCAAUAGGGCCCUGACCUUCCUCGUCACUACUCGACCGAGGUUAGGCUUGACACUUAGUGUGUAUCGUUGUAGUGUACUCAUGCCCUUUCCUCCACAUAUUUUUUGUGUGCAGAUCCAGGUUCUUCUGCUCAGCCGUUCUACUAGUGAGGCAAGCGAUAUCAGAGAUUUCAAGGCAUAUCUGCCGCAUCCGCAGAUCCAGAAGUCCAUCUCUAUUCUCCCCUCUAGCUUUAGACAUUCUGUAUUUACUUUUGAUUAGAUAUUCUGGAGUUAGAACACUAUAUAGUUUUUCUACAGCUUGUGAUUUCAUGAGAUUCCGGGUUUUGGGAUUUUGAUUCGGUUUUGAGAUAACGUAUUGUAUAUACCGAGCGGCAUUUUCAAACUCUUUACUUAUGUUUUUACUCGUAACUUGCCAGUUUUGUAUUUCAUUUCCUUUUUUCAAAAUUUGUUAGGCUUACCUAGUUGUAGAGACUAGGUGCCGUCACGAAAGUUCAUGGAGGAUGAACUAGGGUCAUGACAGUUUCACUGGCAAAGUCUUGGAACAAUCUAUCAAAAUGCUUCUGUGCUUCUCCAUCAGACGGCUGGUGCAGCACACCAUCUAGCCUUCUAUAUUCAUAGCGCUAUCUCAUAUGAGGAGCGGAACUCAUUGAUGUAUAAUACCUCUUUAACCUUAGUAUAAGGGGUAAGUAGUGCAUCAACUUCAAUGGAACCUUCUUCUAUUUAGCAUUUGUGACAUCAUUGAAAUAAGGCAGGUUAAAAAAUGUAUUAUUUUCUAAAGCUUCAUCAUCCUUAUAGAAUAACAUGCAACCUUUAUUACAACAAUCAAUCCUCUUCGAUGAAAGACUCAACUUGGAAACUAAUUUCUUUGCCGUGUAAAAAUCUUUGGGCAGGUAAAUCUUUGUCGGAUUAAGUUCAUUCAUAAGGCCAAUGAUAGAAUCCAUGUCACUUGAGAAAUAGAAUUAUCUGAUUUAAUACUUAGUAAUCUAACUGCAACAAACAAUUUGGAAUACAUUGCGCCUUCAUAAAGAGGACAACUAGCUUCCUCUAACUACUUGAAGAAGCUCUUAGCCUCAUCAUUUGGUUUAGAUUGAGCCCCUGGGAACAUCUCAAAAGCAUCCCUCAUCAUUUCAUUGAAUCGAAAUUUUUUUACAUUAUUAUUCCCCGCUAUGGGACUAUCGUCUUCUCCACCAAAAGAAUUUUGAAAAUCAAUAUCAUUUACACUAGCAUGACUCUGCUCAUAAAUAGUCCACUCAUAAUAAUUUACCAUACACCCCUUCUUAUAUAGAUGAACAGUAAUAAUGUCGGAAGCCAAUAACUUAACUCACUUGCAUUUCACACAAGGACACCUAAUCGUCCCUUCAAUAAGGAAAUCAUCAAAUGUCUUUUCUUUACCAAUAAAGCCAGCAACCACUUCUAUAAAUUCUUCCCGCAAACCGUUACGAUUCGCAUGAUUCCUAUUGUACAACCAUCUACGAUGUGUAAAUUCCAUCUACACAUAGAAGAAAAUUAGAAAUUGAAAUAUUUAUGUUAUUUACCCUAAUCAAUAAAUUUUAUUCUUUAAAGGUUACUUAUCUAAAUAGUUUAAUUAUAUAUUUAAGUGUAAUUUGAUAUUUAUCUAUCUGAUUUAGUAAUCUAAAAAGGUUUUUGCAUUCAUCCAUACUCAUUGGUAAACUCAAAAGCAACAACAAGCGUUAAACAUUAUAUUCAAAAAACCUUAGCUUAAUACAAUUUCAAACCAAUGAGAUUAUUAUAUUUAAUAAACUUUAAUCUUACAAUUAUUUUGUAUAUUUACUUCACUAUUGUUUAAAGUAUAGAAGCUACAUAACAUAAAUAAUAUAAAAUACAAUUAAAUCCCUUUGAAAGAUGAAUCAAAAUUAAUGCUAUAAUUAUUCAACACACUACUUAAUGGUAACUGAAUAACAUAUAUACAUUACAAUGUGAAAAUAAAGUCAAAAUUGAAUAGUUUUAUUCCUAAUUUUAUAACAUAUAUAAUUUACCAUACCUUUCGAAGAUUACUCCUAUUGAAGAAGAAUAUAUAUCUCAACUUUCAAAAGAAGAUUAAUUUUAAUGUUACUCAAGGUUAAUUCACUUCUAAUUUUUUUAUUCAAAAGAAGAUUACUUUUAAUGUUACUCAAGGAUCUAAACAAUAGUUAUUCAAAGUCAAAAUUAAAUUAUUCUUCAUUUCAACUCUAAUUUCAAUUCUAAUCAUAUCAAACAAAAAAAUCUACAAUUCAAAUUUUAAUAGCAAUACAAAUAAAAAGAACAAAUAUAUUAACAUUCAAGUCCAGAGAAAGAUGAUGGAAGGACUUACCUCGCCAGAGAAGAUGCAUGCUGCCGGAGAAGACUCACGUUGCCGGAAAAGAUAUAAACACUACCUGAAAAAGAAAAAAAGAGGGGUUAGAAGGGGAGUUGGCCUUGACAGAGAUGAGGCGGAGAGGGAGGAAGGGAAAAAGAGAUAUAUACCGUCGGGCAAUUCGGCAACGACGACGUGGGAUGAACAAGUGGGCAAAGAGAGUGAAGGGGGCUAAGAUAAGAGAAAGAAAAGAGAAAGAGAAUAAAAAAAG